UUAAAAACAAAAACAACGAAUGUCAUGUAAAAUAAACACAUCAACUGCGUAUUACAUAUUAAAAAAAAAUCUUUGCCAAAUAAAACAAAGUUUUUUGCCAAAUCAACAUUGUAAAGCAAUGGAAAAAUGUCCAUACAGAAUGUGUUAGCAAUCAGCUCUCUAAUGUCAUUGGGAAUGGCUAGCCUGGCAACUGUUAUCCAUUUUUUCCAACGUGAAGCAAAUUACACGGAAUAUGAGUAUUUGCAGCAACAGGAAAAUCCCGAAAGCUUCCGACCGAAUUACAACCGCGUUACCUGGAAUGGACCAAUCGGUGAAGAUAGAAACUUUUGUGCGAUUUGUAGGGCUUGUAUAAAGUACAACAACAAACGCAAAACUCUGGAAUGCCAACACAGUUUCCACGAAAAAUGCAUCAACCAAUGGUUAAUUGUAAAACAGACAUGCCCAAUUUGCCGGAUGGUAUUGACUAGCCCGAGCUAGCAGUUACUUUUCUUUUGAAGUAAUUCCAAAGUACUUAAAUGUAAAUAAAUAAAUCAUCUGCUUCUUUCGUACCUUUGAUAUAAUCAAAAGUAAAAAACAUCUGAGAUUAUAAAAUUAUAUGUUUACGAUGUAAGAUAAACCAUUUUUUGUCAAUUUAUAUAUUUUUUAAGUUUUUAUGUGCAUACAAAUAAAAAUCCUUGUAUAUCUA